rnacentral:tRNA from 1 species
GCCUCCGUGGCGUAAUUGGUUAACGCACACGCCUUUUAAGCGUUGAGUUCCGAGUUCGAGUCUCGGCGGGGGCA